UUCCGAUUUAGGGUUCCACGGAUUCCACCAUCACAGCCUAACUGAUACUCGGUCACCAAAGAGAAGACCGAGUAACAAACCUAAACGUAAAAGAGCUAUUUUGAGACCUGCAGAUUAGUUAUUGGGUGUUGUUGGUAUAGACGAAUUUGACUUACAACAUUUGAGUAUUUUUGGCUGUUGUUGGUAUAGACGAAUUUAGGGAAAAUUACGCUCUAUGUCUACUAAGAGAAAAUAUUUACGCCACAUAGCCCAUAUUUUGAGUUUGUUACCAGGUUUAGCCCGUAUCCGUAUAAACACCUUAUAUAUAAGGUUGAUACAUUGCAACCCCCUACCCCUCCCCCCUCCUCGGUAACAAACCUAAAUGUAGAAGACCUCCGGGUUAAUCUUCAUUUUCCUAUUUUAUACUUGAUUUGCAACCUAGGGUUUUGAAAUUUUAUGCCAUUUUCAAAUUUGGGCAUUUCAUUAUGCAAAUCUUCAUUUUCUAAUUAUAAGCACUCUUUUCAGUUAAUUGGAACCUAGGGUUUUGGACUAGGGUUUAAGGUUUUAUGUCAUUUUCAGAUUUGGGCAUUCAUUAUGCAGAUUAUGAUUUAUUUAUUUAUUGGUGUUUUUGGUAUGGAUGAAUGUCUUUUACAUAGAUGGUGUGUUUGGUAUGAGGGAAAAUGUUUUCCAAGAAAAUAAAUGAUUUGCCUAGCUCGUUUUUCUUGUGUUCGGUACGUAAGUUGAAAAAUGUCAUUUUAAGAGCAUUUGCAUAUAUUCAAAGCAAAACACUAUGAAGUUUUGUUAAUUCGGAGUGUAUCUUCUUGUCGUGGGGGGUAGGUGUAUGGGUGGUGGGGUAAGUGGGGUGGUGUGGAUGUGGAGCGGGUUGGCGGGGGUGGAGGUAGGCAGAAGGGGUGUGUGGAUGGAUUGUGUCGGUGUGUCUUCAUUCUGUGGAUGAGACUGAACUCUUAACUGAGGUCCAUAUGCAUGGGUAAAAUAUACCCCCGGUGAACCCCUAUAAGUCCAAACAAUCCCAAUGAAGGAAGUGUCAAGCGGAGGAAUGAGAAGAAGAGAAUCGGGUAGAGAAAGGCAUUUAUAUUGGUAUGAUCGUAGAACUGUGACCUUGUGGGGUGAGCUAGCUGAAAAAGAUGGGGAAAUACUACAAAAACUGAUAGAUACAAAACCCGUCGUAGCAUUUUGUGAUGUGAAAGGGUCGACGUAUCAAGGUAAUAUAUCGAAAACUCUUUUUACGUUCACAAUUAAUUCUUUAUAUUACAUCUUUACUAAACUUUAUUUUGUGUGUUGUGAGGAUAUCUACCACUCAUAUUAGUAGUGUGUUGAUCAACCCGACAUUUCAAAAAGCAAACAAGUUGCAAAAUUGGCAUGAUUGUUUGAAAGCGCAAAAUAAAGAUAUUACAUUAAUGCCAGCUAAGAUGAUUAGAGAAGCCAAAGAAGUGAAGAUCAAAGAUAUCAUAAAUGGUUCGUAUGCAACUAUGAAGGAUUUAUAUUGUAGAUUUAAUGCACGAGUAACAGUGAUUAUAGACAAAGAUGAGCCAUGGUAUUCUUCUUGCAAGAAAUGCUAUAAGAUAGUCAAUAUUGAAAAUAAAAUUGCAAAUUGUAGCAAUUGGAGGUCAGAAACCGUCGAUUACGAGGAAAGAUAUCGUUUAAAAAUUGAGGUGUUCGAUGGUGAAUGACAUAGCAAUGUUACACUUUUUGACGCUGCAAGGUACUUGCUAGGUUGUGAUGUUAACGAAUACAUCCAAUCAAUCUCUAAAUAGUUGACAAGUGAACUCAAGCCAAUGGUGUCAAGAGGAGCUUAAUUGCUGAAGAGAUGCAUGAAGUUGGAACUAUUGCUGCAAUUGAAAUUGAGGAAGACGCAAUAGAGGUGCAGAAAAAACACGCGAAGAAAACAAGGAAUUGUGGAGACAAAGAAGACCCUCAUUCAAUAAUUUAUAAGAAAAUCAAAAUAGAAAAGGAUUAGGGAUUUAUUGUUGUUUUGUCAUUCCAGUGGACAUUCAUUAUCUUUUUUAUGAGUAGAUUUCCCCUAGUCUUUAUUUAAUUCUCUUAUGCUAUUGUAGUAUACUUUCGUUGGUCUAUAGUAUGUUACUAUUUAAGCU